AGUGAACGCUGGCGGUAGUCCUAACACAUGCAAGUCGAACGGCAGCACAGUAAGAGCUUGCUCUUACGGGUGGCGAGUGGCGGACGGGUGAGGAAUACAUCGGAAUCUACUUUUUCGUGGGGGAUAACGUAGGGAAACUUACGCUAAUACCGCAUACGACCUACGGGUGAAAGCAGGGGAUCUUCGGACCUUGCGCGAUUGAAUGAGCCGAUGUCGGAUUAGCUAGUUGGCGGGGUAAAGGCCCACCAAGGCGACGAUCCGUAGCUGGUCUGAGAGGAUGAUCAGCCACACUGGAACUAAGACACGGUCCAGACUCCUACGGGAGGCAGCAGUGGGGAAUAUUGGACAAUGGGCGCAAGCCUGAUCCAGCCAUACCGCGUGGGUGAAGAAGGCCUUCGGGUUGUAAAGCCCUUUUGUUGGGAAAGAAAAGCAGCAGGUUAAUACCCCGCUGUUCUGACGGUACCCAAAGAAUAAGCACCGGCUAACUUCGUG
rnacentral:rRNA from 1 species